AAGGUUUCUUGGCCUUUUGGCUAAGAUCAAGUGUAGGAAAGGUGUUUUUUUAAUGUUUAAUGUUAUAUUGUGUUUUUAUAUAUAUAUAUAGUGGUGCCCCGCAAGACGAAUGCCU